rnacentral:lncRNA from 1 species
CGUUGGGAAAGCUCGGGCCGCGCAGGAGCCCACGGCGGGCUGGGGAGGCUCAGGCACGGCGGGCUGCAGGUCCCGAGCUCUGCCCCGCGGGGAGGCAGCUAAGGCCCGGCGAGAAAUCGAGCACAGCAGCUGUCGGCCCAUGUGCUAAGCCCCUCACUCCCCGGGUCGGCGGGGCCCGCCGGCCACUCCGAGUGCGAGGCCCGCCGAGCCCACGCCUACCCGGAACUCGCGCUGGCCCGCAAGCGCCGCGCGCAGCCCCGAUUCCCGCCCGCGCCUCUCCCUCCACACCUCCCUGCAAGCUGAGGGAGCCGGCUCCGGCCUUGGCCAGCCCAGAAAGGGGCUCCUACAGUGCAGCGGCGGGCUGAAGAGCUCCUCAAGCACGGCCAGAGUGGGCGCUAAGGCCGAGGAGGCCCCGAGAGCGAGCGAGGGCUGUGAGCGCUGCCAGCAUGCUGUCACCUCUCAAUAGUAAGUUCUGGAAGCUGAGAAGUCCGAAAUCAAGGUACCAGCAGGGUCCGGUCUGCUGAGGGCUGCUCUCUGCUGUGCCCUCCAGAGAGAACAAAUGCUGUGUCCUCCAGGAGGAAGGGCUGCUGGAACCACAGGCAAUACAAAGAAUGAAAAUAGCAACUCGAAAACAAAUUCCACAGUUCUUUCCGUGAGUUUGCAAAAGUCUACACAUGGAGAAUGACCUUUCAUCUUAUUUCUCAUCUGCUGGUCCCAUCAACCCUAACUUUGUAUCUGCUAAAACUCAGGGAAGAGUGGCUUAUUUAAUUGGUGAAUUUUAGAGAAGAAAUUGAGAAUGUCUGCUACUUUUCAUCCCUCCUGAAACUACUACUAUUUUUAGAGGUGCCUAACAUGUUGACCUGCUCUUUGUCUUCUGAAUCUAAUUGGAAACCAUCUUGGAACACACAUGUUGUAUAAAAUGAGAUACCACUAUCUGCAUCUUGUGCCUUUUGUAACAAUAUAAUAAAAUUGUCAUAUAUUGAUUGCCGGAAUCAAUACCAGGACAUUUACAUACAUUUUCUGAUUUAACUUUUGUAAUAUGGGCAGUCAUUUUGAUUCUAUCGGUCAGGAAGUGGUGACUCAAGAAAGGAAGUAAUUUGCCUAAAAUUACAGGACUGGACCCAGACUUUCAGAUCCCAACAUCUUUAUACUUAAAAAAAAAUUCAUCUAUACUCUGUGUGUUCUAUUUUAGUAUAUGUUAUUAGAAAAUAACAGUAAUUCUCUCUCUCUCUCUCUCUGCCUCUGUGUGUGUGUGUGACACAGAGGAACUAAAUAGAAUGAUAGGAAUGCAGCAUCUGGCCACAUCUCAGGGAUGUUAAAUGAGAAUCUACAUUUUAACAAAAUGUCUAGUUAAUCCCUAUUUAUAUUAAAAUGAGAAACACUGAGUUAGAUAAGAUUACCCUUAUGUUACAGAUCAAAAUCCUCAGAAACAAAAAGUUUUCCAGCUCAGAUUGUGAAGAUCUUCUCAAGUUUUGUCAAGCAAUUGGGACAGUAAGUAUAGCAAAGGUAGAGGCGGGUAUUAAUGAUUACUAACUGUCUGCUUCAUUGAGCUCAUUGCAACAGUAGAUGGAGAAUACUGGAGAAGAGAAUAUAAUCAGCCCCCCAUACCCAUGGGUUCCACAUUCGUGGAUUCAAUCAACUUUGGAUCAAAAAUUUAAAAAAAAACAUGACAAUAAAAAACAACACAAAUCUUAAAAACAAUAAAGCUUAACAAUUAUUUACAUAGCAUUUAUAUUAGGUAUUGUAAGUAAUCUGG